rnacentral:rRNA from 1 species
UUGACCUCAAAUCAGGUAGGACUACCCGCUGAACUUAAGCAUAUCAAUAAGCGGAGGAAAAGAAACUAACAAGGAUUCCCCUAGUAACUGCGAGUGAAGCGGGAAAAGCUCAAAUUUGAAAUCUGGCAGUCUUUUUUUUCUUCUUUGGCUGUCCGAGUUGUAAUCUAGAGAAGUGCUUACCUGCGCUGGACCAUGUAUAAGUCUCCUGGAAUGGAGCGUCACAGAGGGUGAGAAUCCCGUCUUUGACAUGGACUGCCAGUGUGUUGGGGUGUGCUCUCAAAGAGUCGAGUUGUUUGGGAAUGCAGCUCUAAAUGGGUGGUAAACUCCAUCUAAAGCUAAAUAUUGGCGAGAGACCGAUAGUGAACAAGUACCGUGAGGGAAAGAUGAAAAGGACUUUGGAAAGAGAGUUAAACAGUAUGUGAAAUUGUUGAAAGGGAAACGCUUGAAGUCAGUUAUGUUGACUAGGGAUCAACCUAGCUAUUUUUUUUUGCUGGGUGAAUUUCCUUGUCUGACAGGCCAACAUCAGUCUUGACUGCUGGAAAAGAGCGGAGGGAAUGUGGCACCUUUGGGUGUGUUAUAGCCCUUUGUCAUAUGUGGCAGUUGGGACUGAGGGAUGCAGCAUGCCGUGAGGCUGGGUUUUUGACCACGUUCAUGCUUAGGAUGUUGGCUUUUAAUGGCUUCAAUCGACCCGUCUUGAAACACGGACCAAGGAGUCUAACAUGCCUGCGAGUGUUUGGGUGGGGAAAACCCUUGUGCACAAUGAAAGUGAAAGUUGAGAUCCCUGUCAUGGGGAGCAUCGACGCCCGGACCUGAGCUUUUAGCGACGGAUCCGCGGUAGAGCAUGCAUGUUGGGACCCGAAAGAUGGUGAACUAUGCCUGAAUAGGGCAAAGCCAGAGGAAACUCUGGUGGAGG